rnacentral:rRNA from 1 species
GUUUAUUUGAUAGUACCUUCUACCUGGAUAACCGUGGUAAUUCUAGAGCUAAUACAUGCUAAAAACCUCGACUCACGAAGAGGUGUAUUUAUUAGAUAAAAAACCAAUGCCCUCCGGGGCUCAGUGGUGAUUCAUGAUAACUUAACGAAUCGCAUGGCCUUGCGCCGGCGAUGGUUCAUUCAAAUUUCUGCCCUAUCAACUUUCGAUGGUAGGAUAGUGGCCUACCAUGGUUUCAACGGGUAACGGGGAAUUAGGGUUCGAUUCCGGAGAGGGAGCCUGAGAAACGGCUACCACAUCCAAGGAAGGCAGCAGGCGCGCAAAUUACCCAAUUCUGACACAGAGAGGUAGUGACGAUAAAUACCGAUACAGGGCUCUUUCGGGUCUUGUAAUUGGAAUGAGUACAAUCUAAACCCCUUAACGAGGAACAAUUGGAGGGCAAGUCUGGUGCCAGCAGCCGCGGUAAUUCCAGCUCCAAUAGCGUAUAUUAAAGUUGUUGCAGUUAAAAAGCUCGUAGUUGAACCUUGGGCCUGGCCGAUCUGUCUUCCUAAUCGUUGUACGGAUUCGGUCGGGCCUUUCCUUCUGGGGAGCCCCAUGUCCUUCACUGGGCGUGGUGGGGAACCAGGACUUUUACCUUGAAAAAAUUAGAGUGUUCAAAGCAGGCCUUUGCUCGAAUACAUUAGCAUGGAAUAAUGGAAUAGGACAGCAGUUCUAUUUUGUUGGUUUCUAGGACCGCUGUAAUGAUUAAUAGGGAUAGUCGGGGGCGUCAGUAUUCAAUUGUCAGAGGUGAAAUUCUUGGAUUUAUUGAAGACUAACUAUUGCGAAAGCAUUCGCCAAGGAUGUUUUCAUUAAUCAGUGAACGAAAGUUAGGGGAUCGAAGACGAUCAGAUACCGUCGUAGUCUUAACCAUAAACUAUGCCGACUAGGGAUUGGACGGUGUUUCUUUUAUGACCCGUUCAGCACCUUACGAGAAAUCAAAGUUUUUGGGCUCUGGGGGGAGUACGGUCGCAAGGCUGAAACUUAA